rnacentral:misc_RNA from 1 species
AUAUACAACAUUCAAUAUGUUAACAAGUCACAUUCCACCCAACCUGAGACAAAUUAUCAAUAGCUGAAGAAACAGGUCCACAAAACUCUUGAAAAGACAAAUGCUAUUGAGGGCUAAAUAUUUGAAAUUUAAACAUCCACAAGAUAACAUCCAAAACAACUUUAGUGCAAAAAAAGCCUUGAAACUGAUUGAUGUGAGCAGAUGCAGGCAUGCAGCAAGAAACUAUGGUCAUUUGACAUUUAUACAAGAAUAUAUUCUUAUCUAGAUAGGAUACUAGGAAAUCUCCAUACCAGUGGUUCAAAAUCAUGGGUA